rnacentral:rRNA from 1 species
AGUGAACGCUGGCGGUAGGCCUAACACAUGCAAGUCGAACGGCAGCACAGUAAGAGCUUGCUCUUACGGGUGGCGAGUGGCGGACGGGUGAGGAAUACAUCGGAAUCUACUUUUUCGUGGGGGAUAACGUAGGGAAACUUACGCUAAUACCGCAUACGCCCUACGGGUGAAAGCAGGGGAUCUUCGGACCUUGCGCGAUUGAAUGAGCCGAUGUCGGAUUUGCUAGUUGGCGGGGUAAAGGCCCACCAAGGCGACGAUCCGUAGCUGGUCUGAGAGGAUGGUCGGCCACACUGGAACUGAGACACGGUCCAGACUCCUACGGGAGGCAGCAGUGGGGAAUAUUGGACAAUGGGGGCAAGCCUGAUCCAGCCAGACCGCGUGGGUGAAGAAGGCCUUCGGGUUGUAAAGCCCUUUUGUUGGGAAAGAAAAGCAGCAGGUUAAUACCCCGCUGUUCUGACGGUACCCAAAGAAUAAGCACCGGCUAACUUCGUG